CACCAUGUGUGUCGAUUGGGUAAACAGAUAAAAACAUUACGUCCGGUAUAAAACCUCAGAUGCAUUAAGUUCCGCACUUGUCAUCGUCUUUGCCUGCAAUCAGUUUGUUCUUUCUGUUAUUUGAAUAACGGAUUCUGACGCGUGAAAGAUGAAGCCCGCAGUUGUCAUUAUGCUUUCCAUACUUGUGGUUGCCUGCUUUUUCACCGGUUGCCAAUGCUCUACGACUCCUCCUCCUGCAACUACCACAGCAGGGAAUGGAGCGGACGAGGUUGUAAUGAAAUCAACGUGCUUAUGUCUUUUCUUCGGCACUAUCAUCGCAGUGGUGGCAGGCUUUACAUUGAGCAGCUAGACACUGGAUAACGUCAUAAACGACCAGUGAUGUUGUGAAAACGAACUGUAUGCUAGUAUAGUUGUUAUUUGCUGACACAGAACAUCUUAUAUUCAUUCAGUACUUGUUUGCUUUCAUCUUUAACGUUAAGAACAGUAUUAAGGAAAUAACAAAGCCUAUGAUUUCAUUCAUUUAAUCACAAACAUAGUUCACUUCAAACGAGAAGUGGCCUAGUACUACGCAUGCUGUUCUAAAAUAACUAAAUAUAUUCUUCGAAAUUAAUUUGCAAUGUUUUUUGAUAAAGGGUUUCUACCGAUGUCUUUAUGAAACAAAUUUACAUGUAUUCACGUUUUUAUCACCUUUAUAUCGUUUCAAAACUUUUCAAUGACGAAGGCAUAGCGGAAGAUGGAUUCAUUGAUGGCUGGCCCUCUGACUGUUUUGUUACCUAUAGUCUUCUCGUACGUUUGGGUUAAUAAAAAUAUACUUUUUAUUUGAA